rnacentral:rRNA from 1 species
UACGAAGGGGGCGAGCGUUGUUCGGAAUCACUGGGCGUAAAGCGCACGUAGGCGGACUCUUAAGUCAGGGGUGAAAUCCUGGAGCUCAACUCCAGAACUGCCUUUGAUACUGGGAGUCUUGAGUUCGGGAGAGGUGAGUGGAACUGCGAGUGUAGAGGUGAAAUUCGUAGAUAUUCGCAAGAACACCAGUGGCGAAGGCGGCUCACUGGCCCGAUACUGACGCUGAGGUGCGAAAGCGUGGGGAGCAAACAGG